CCUUAUAAAGACUAUAAGAUUUCUUGUACUUGGAGCCCUUCUCCCUUUCUAAGGCACUUACUUACAUUUUCUUUUUCUAGGAAUAGCCUUGGUAAUAAAAUGAGUCACCUAACCCUCUGUCAGCAGCGAACACGAUGACUGACACUUACACGGCACCUUUCACGCUAAGAACAUUUAAACCUAUGUGUGGAAUCCUGCCCUGGCUGCUGGCUGUGCUGUCAAUAUGAUGCCGGAGCCUUUCUACCCGCACAGACCAGCAGGUCUCAGUGAGAGGCUUCAACACCCUUUGCUACUGCUUUGAAAAGGAUCUCUGUGUGUGGCUUUCUGGCCUGGCAGGCAUACUGUGGGAGGGAGAGACUCACAGGAAGAAUCUGGCAGAGCUACUUACGAACCUGAAUGCAUGGGACAAAGCUGAGGAGCAGCAUCUGUGUGUACAAGGAUGUUUCAUCAGAGGAGCCGUGGCUAUUUUGCUGUCUCCUCCUCUUGUCCAAGUGCGGGUGACACUGGUUGGGCACCUUAUGAUGACUUAUGAAGUAGAAGAUUAUUUCUGUCCUUGGGAGUUAUGGAAGUAACUGGAUGCAGGACAUCAGGAUGCUCCCUGCCUCUGCCUUUGAGGAACGGGGGUGAUAAGACAAGAAAUUAUGCUGACUUAACCAUAUGUCCAGAAGAAUUAAUUUUGACUCUGUAGUCUUGGUAUCAGCUGCCAGCUCAAAGGAGAUGAGUGUGAUGGUGAUGUUUCAAGGCAUAUAGUUGAAUUGGCAGCUACUUAUUACUUUCUACCCCUGAUCUGAAAAACGAUGAGGCCCCUGAUUUUACAUGUCUCCAGCCUGACUGCAGACUAGUGCUAGGAGAAAGAAUUAAAAGGCACGGUGAGGUGGCUUUACAUACAUCCUUACAUCUGGUCUAAAUGCAGGAGAUUUCCCGGCCCAAAAUGUGAUCUGACGGUGUGAGUUCAUUCAGCUAACAUCUGGGAUGACGUUAAGUCAACACCAGGUAGUGCAUACCACAGCCAAAUCCCCGUGCAAGCUGGCAGAGCCACUGUGGCCAGCAGCACCUGCACAGGGGGCAGCUCUUCCGAGCCUCAGCUCUUAACUUACGUGUCCGCGUUAUGCGGGCAAUACACAAAACGUGAUACGCUUGACGAAUCUGGUGUGCAGACAAUUAAUUUUUAAAGCCUUGUCAGUACCGCCGUGGUUCGUGCCGCUCCCUGGGGCAGCGCUGCGUGCCUGCUCAGAGCAGGCAAACCCUCCGUGGUGCUCCCCGGCCACCCCAGCAGCUGGUGGAGGGACUUUGCGGGCGGGCGAGCAGCCGGCCUGCCACCUCCUGCCUCCCUCCCCUUCCCCGCAAACGCCAGCCAGAGCAGCUGUCCGGCGGCUAACGCUGCGGUGCCGUAUACCUGGGAUGUGAGCUGCUCCUCGAACGCUUCCAAAGCAACUGGUAUUUUGGGCGUCGUCUGGUUAACGCCGCUAGUACGGACUAAUGGAAAAACAUCUUGACGCAAAUAAGGAGUCAUAAUAAGCUCCAGGUGAUUUUUUUUUCUAGUGUUUUGUUGAUAUUUUUAAAUAAAGCUACUCCGACACCACAUUUCUAGGGGAUUUCUACGUUGUGAGGGGACUGCUUCACUGUGCAAAGGGUUAACUCUGACGGCCGUCUGCAAUGGGAGUGAAAAGAACUUGGCCACAAAGCAGCAUCCAUGAACACAUAAUUUCUGACAUGACAUUUAUUCUCUGUCCAUAUUGUGUUUGCUGUUUGCAGACAUUCAUUUGUAAAGAUUUUCUUUUUCUCCCCCCCCCCCAAUUGUGUUUUUAUGAAUAAAACAAUCAGUGAAGGUGGCCAGGGUGCCACUGUCCUCUUUAAACUGUCAAAAAUAAAAGAUAACCUGAAAUUCUA